GAUUCCUGUAAGUCUGAGCAUAAAGUUUUAUGGCACAUGUUCUGCUCUUUAUGGGAAAAAACACCAUGGGGAGCUACGCUUCAAAGAAUCAAGGUCCCCUUUCUGCCCUUUGAACUGAACUGGUAAGCCUUCAGACAGGUUACACAUUGCAAUUGCUGCUUUGGAGCUCUCCUUGAAUCACUGUCUUUUGCUCUGGCUAUAGAUCCUGAUGUGCUUUGUAAAUGGAAAUUCAGAAGGGAGCUGACUUUCGAGAUCAACAGAUCAAACAUACAGCUAGGACUUUCAGUCCAUUGAACUAUAAUGCAUAUGAAGACUCGACUACAAAUGUGUUGCUUGAAGAGGUCAUUCUUGAUAGAGUGAGCCAGUUCCUCGUGGUAUAAGUUGGCAGCAUGUCAUAAAAGUCAGUGCCUUGAAGUCAAUGGAUCUUUCCAUCAUAUAUAUGAAUUCUGCCUUAUGCCUAGCAUGUGACACACCCUUGGAAGAAGAGAUUGCAUGAAAAGGUAGAUGUAUACAGUAAUGAAGGUGUUGAUUCAAGUUACUACUGAAGAGUGGUAGAAAAUUGGCCCAGCUGUAGGAGAUGAAGAAUCAGGAACAGGAUGAACAAUGUGGUUAUUGGGAGGAUAAGAAAAAUAAUAAAGACAAAGACCAUUUGGAAACACCCACACAUAGACAGUGGACAAAGGAAGAAAGGAAUGAAUAAAAAUUUCCCUGUACAAGACACUUGAGUAUACCAGGCUGGUGUUAGUGGAUUCCAGAGAGCUUCCAUAACAGAAACAGAGGGAUGUUUAUGCAAGAUAUGAAAAUGAGUAAAAGUUUCUCCAAAAUUUGCAAAUCAGUAAGACUAUGAAGAUGUAUGAAGACCAGAAUUGCCAAGGCUUUUCAUGCUAUGUACAACAUGAAAAAACUGAUACAAAAAAGCAAAAUCAUUUAUUUUCAAAGUGCAAAUACUACAGGGAGAAAAGUCAACUUUAAAGGUACUAUAACUAUAUCCAUACCUGUUUUGGUCCCUCUGAAUACAUUACUUCUACUACCAUCGUCAUCCAUUAUGGCUUGGGAAGGGAACUAAGAAGAGAGGAAUAUGAUGUCAGUGGAACAGCAAAGCUUGCCUGCAUUUCCUCCCAGGAACAUAGGAGAACCAAGCGCUAGGCCUAGAGCCUAUGUGAAAUGUAUGAAUUGCUCUGCAGUCUGUAGGAGAGAGGAUAAGUAAGUGAGGAAUUCUCAUUAAGAAUGUCCACACCCUCCUCAGAUAUCAGUCACCUCAUAGAUGAGCAUUGACUUGCACAGGAGACUUGCUCACAACAUAUCCACUAAUUCUAAUUUCAGUCUUUGGUACAGGGUCCUUGUCCAAAUAUGCAAAGCUGCAUUCAGCAACAGUAAAUCAACAUAAGAAUGCAGGGACAAGAUGAUGCAGAUACGCCCAAUUCAAAACAUUUGCAUUAAAGUGCACCUGAUCCAUAUAUGGUAGUUUGGAAGCUCAGAAGAAUUCAGUGAAUUCUGAUCAAUGCACGAGAUAUACAUGUACAGUUUAAAGGGAGCUCUGUAAAAUUAAGGAAGAGAUGCUGGCAAGAGGCCCACAAAGCACUGUCAGGUCCUGUCUUGCCAUGUCUCUCCUUGAAGUAAGCAAGUCAGUAAGUCGUGUUCACUUGAACAACUCCCGUGAAGGAAAGCAUUAGGUCUGGCAACUCCAUUCUGAGACAGUGAAUAGCAACAGAUCUUUUAGGAGGUCUCAGAAGAGGGUGGGAUUUUGAACUGUAUUACACUGUAGGUUGCCAGAGAGAGUGAUAAGAAAGACAGAAAAAAAUGAAGAAAGGGCAGAAGACUGAGAACAGGCAUCACUUGAAAGACCAUUGAGGUGAGCUAAGUGUGAAGCCUUACCAAGAGUCAGCCAAGAAUUAUGACUCAGCCAAUUAGAAAAAGGCUUUUUAAUAUCAUUCUCUAAAAUGAUAGAGAAAAUUAAACUCUAGUCAACUCAUAUUUACAAUUUAUAUAACAAUUUCUCAAAUUAUUAGCUUUAUUCACAGAGAUAGUUCCUCUCAAUUUGGUUUACUAAGCUUCACUCCAGCAGGGUGCUAAUUGCAGCCUUAGCCCAGCAAAGCAUGCAUAAAAGCGAUCUUAUGAGCAGUUGAAUUGAUUUCAGUGAAGUAUGGAUAUGUUUAAGAUAUUCAUACACUUAAAUGCUUUGCUGGAGUAUGGUUUAGAUGAACAACAUCACUGCUAUUAAUCAACCUUAUCAGCCCGUCUAGCAACGCAAUAGAGCCAGCAAAAAGUUAAUGUAAUUGCUAAGUCAUUGGAAAUAGGACAGGCACAAGUCUAUGAAAUGAUCUUGUGGAAGCAUUUGUCGGAAAUUAGUUCUUUUUUUUUUUCCCCUCCAAAUUAUCUCAUAUUUCUGACCAACAAGAGAACUGACUAUUCUGUGCAAAAAUGAAGAAAUCACAUAAAACUAAACAUGCUGUUAUUAGUCACAUUAAUAGCACAUCUGAAAGAAAGACUGUUCAAAGAUCAGGUGCAAAAGUUUAUGCAUUUUACUAAUGACAGAAAAUAUUAUUAUUCAUAUAUCUUAUUAGUCUUAAAUAAUAUCUUUUUAAUUAAAAUUAGUGCCUGCUAAAUUUCUUGAAUAGCAUUUAGCAGUGAUAAAGAAAACAAUACAGAUUUCCUGUAAACACUCUGUUGCACAUAAUUAUCAAUAAUUAUCAGUUCAUUUACUUAAAUACCCAGCUUGUGUUACAGUAGUCAAUGAGACUUGUGCUAUACAACGAAUUAGAUUUCAUAAACCAAGCCUGAUAACAAUAUGGGGACUUAUACUGAAAAAUCAGGACAUGGUGUUGAGCCCAGCAGUUAAAACAAUUACUAAGGAUCCAGGCAGCACUGAACCACUGCUUGAGAUGGGCAUCAGGAGGUGGGUGCUGACAGCAUGCUGUGGGAUUUAGAGCCAUUUGUGUUGACUAACCAGGCUUUACCCACAUGCCAGUAGAAAGAACAAGAAGCAACCAUUUCCAGAACUGCCCGAGUGAUUUAGGAGGUUAGAUCUCAUUUCAAAGCUCCUUGAGUAUUCAAAGUAGUAUGCAAACCUAAUGACACUUAAGAUACAAGUCCCAUGUUGAUUUUAUAAACAAAUCAAAAGAUGUAUACAGUUCUAUUAGGUGUCUCAGUACUCUUAAUAUGCACCUCAGUAUUUACCUGUGGGUAUGGUCCUCAGUAACUUUAAGACGUAGUCUAGUUCAUUUCAAUGUUCUUCUUUUUCUCACUUUGAGAAUGUUAUUUAGAGGAUGCUGAAUUUAAUGCAAAGUCCUUCAUUAUAUCAGUGAUUCUGAAUAUGAUUUGUUAAAAAAAAAAAACCAAAAUCAUGCAUAUCUCAGUUUGCAGACAGACAACAGGACACAAGCACCAGAUUUUAUUUACACUCUUCCUGAGUCAGAAGGCUACUCUUAUGAGACCCUCUAUCUCUUCUCAUUGCAUCCCAAGGGCUUUAGGACUUUUAGAACAUAAGCCAUGCAUACGAGCAUUAUCAAUAUGUCUUCACCAUUUGCCUUAAGUGAAGAAGGCAAAGUUUAUAAAGCUGCUGUUUUUCUUCACGGGAUUAUAUAGGAACUUUACCUCAGAACUUCCUAAAACUGUUGCUAUAGGAUUCCUGUUGUAACCUUGAUGCAAGGAUAUAAGAGAGGCAGAACUGAGAAUCUUUCAUUAAGCCAACAGAGGUGGAAAAAUACCUGGCUGAAAAAGCAACAGCCAACCUUCAGCUAAGCAGGGGCUGCAAACAAUUGUUCCAAGUUUAACACAAGAAAGCUAAGCAAUUAAACAACUUAAUAAUCUUUUCUCCUUGUUUCAGAUUAUUAUCUUUAUAUUAAGACCUUAAGUCUUUGCAGCAGGAUGGGAAAAAAAUGCCAGCCAAGAACUGUGAGGAGGUAGUUAAAAUGAAAAUGGAGAAUAUUAAAAUGUCCCAUAAAAUCAAUAUCUCUGCUUAAUCCAUGGAACUAUUGCUUUUGUAUCCAGUAAAAUUAUAUACUUCUCUUACCUAGGCUUUGGUCUGAAGAUAUUUUGUAAGUUUACCAUGAGAAUUUGAAGAUAAACUAUUUAAUGACAAAUAUCCUUUCAUUCACAGUUGUUUCUAUCACUUGCUGAAUUGCUCAGUUCCAUGUACAGCAAAUAAUUUUGCUAUCACUGCUGUCAUUGGUACAUUUAGUGGUUUGGGUGAUCUUUAUUUUGCUUCAAGAUGACCAUAUGAAGAAUCCAUGGAGUACAAAGGCAUGUUUUGCUUAACUUGAAUUCAGAUAGGUAGGUAUCCACUAAAGUUUUUUUUAUGUAUGUUCAUAUGCUUAACAAAAAUUUCUAGGCAAUUUGUGGAACAGUCCCUUAUUAAUGAUGCUCUUGACAAUAGCAACAUGGUUUCUUCCUUUCCAGAAAACAGCAGGGUAGACAUUAUAUAAACAUAAUCUUCCUGUAAAUCUUUUCCUGUGAUUGAACCAGGAUAAUUAGAUCUAGUUUUGCCAAAACCACCAGCAACAUAAUUCUAUGAAACUGUCUGGAGCUGAAGGCUAAUAAUUUCAAAAGUAAAUACAAUAUUUACAUUCAUCAGCCUAAUGGAAACAUAAUAAAGAUGUAGAAAAAAGUAUAGUCUAUUAUAAAAGCUGCUUAUAUUCUGUUCAAGUAACUUUAAUAUAAUUUUCAGUUUCUAUAUUACUGUUUUUAACAAUAAUACACCAAUUUUUUCAACCAAGAGGAAGACCCUCAACUAGUAUGUCUUGUGUACAAAAUUACAGUAAAAGGUCAUUCUCACCUCAGAUAGUUUAGUAUCCAAAUAAGCAACAUAAGAGAGAGAAGGAAGCUAGUUCUGUUGUCUCCAGCACACAUGGGAGAGGCCAAAAUACAUAGAUAUAGUCUAUGCAUGUGUGGAAUGAUGGCGGAGUGAACAACUCAGCCUAAUCAGAGUUACAGGUCAAGGAUUAAUGAAAAUGAACCCAAAUUGUUUAUUGUUUAUCAGACAUUCAGGGUGCAAUUUUCUAAACAUCUCCAAAGCAAAGAUUAACCCCAACAAACUUUAGAUAACUAAUGUGUCAAUCUUUUCCCUAAGCAAAAGUAUCUAAUGCCAUGUGAGAUGUUUGGUUACCAAGGACAUCUGCAAGAUGGUGGCCAAUUCAAUGCAACACCUGCAGAAAAUCUACAGACAUUGGGAUCUCAGCAGUAGGGCAGAUGCGGUGGUCUGCAGACUCUCCGAGUGCUUAGAUGCCUACGAUGAUAAGCAUCUAAAACAAACCUUAAGUGAAAAACAUUUAUUGGUCAUCUGCAUUUUCUAUGCUGUCUCUAUAUUUAGUAGAAUGAGAUACUGAUCUUCAGUAGGACAAACUGCUCUCUGGAGGUGCCACUCUUUCUCCACUGACUUUAGAGAGAACCUUGGCUAAUUGUGUUCCUGAAGAAGGUUCUGAAUUUAGGCAUUGAGUUGGUUUUUUACAUACUGUUUUUGCUGUCUUCUAGUAGAUGUACCCUAUACAGCCUUAGACAAAAGGCUCAGUGUUUUUCAUUGCUAUUCUGUUUUCAUAAUUCAUAAUCUUGUAUUUAUUCCUUAAUUUAAUUAUUUAAAUAUUUAUUUAAAUGUAAAAAAAAUAUAGCUAAGUGCACAUGGAAAACAAAACUGAAUAAAUAAAUGAAUGAACAAAAAACACCACAAAACAACAACAACAACAACAAAACAACAAAAAAAACCUACAGCAUCACUUAUGUCUUCAUCAGAGGGCAAACCACACUUAGGAAAAAUGUUAUUUUCAGCAACUAAGUGCCAGAUUUAGCUUUGAGUACUCAGGCUUCAAAACAGCAAGCCACUUCCAGAACUAUUCCAUCAUUUGUGAAGCAUGUCUGAAAGCAUCUACAGGUAAGAUAACUAUAAUAAAAUUAUUUACGUAUUUGUUGAGACGUAUUUGUUUUAGAGGACACACGCAAAAUAAUUAUUAAAAUAAUAAAAAUCCAGCACUUCUAAGCUUGCUUCUACUCCUGUAGAAACAUGUUAUUCAAGGACAUUUAUACAUCCAAGCUGCGAGGAAGACAGUUCCAGACUUGUCUAACCUGUGCCCCCAUCUCUAACUGAAGAAUUAAAUAUUACACACUCUGACAGGUCCACACAAGCAUCUAUUCUAGGUUGUUUUGUUUUUUUCACCUUAACACAAAUCUCUUCAAGAUUUCUUGAAGUCUUUAUCUUCCAUGCUCACAUACUGGCUAUAUUCCACCAGUACAGAAGAAAGACUAAUUUGUAACAUUUUUCUUGGAUUGACUUUUUUGUGGAUUAGUUGUGGCAUGUACUCAUUACAGAAAUGUGCCAUUAUACACGUUGCAUACUUUGACUUCCAUUGUGUUUUAGGUUGCUGUCUGUUAGCAUACAUGAAACCAUGCUAAGUAACUGUUUGCUUAUUAUGAAGACACAGGGGAAAUUUAUAGAGUAGAAAAUUCUUGUCUUACUCAUCCUUCUUCCCUUUCCAGAACUCUUGGGUUUUUAAAUUCAAGACAAGAAUAUCAAGCAUGUAUUUCUACAUCUUGGAAUAUAACGUAGGACUUCUAGCAUAUGCAACAACACAGCCAUAGAAGAAUAUUAUCUAAAAAAAUGAGUAUGUCAUAUAAUAAAACAACAUAUUUUGCAAAUAUGUAUCUGCUAUUGGUUUAGCACUUCUUCUGAAAGAUGUAUUUUUCAGAUAGCUUGUGUUUUCCUGACCAGGCACUCAUAGGCAGUGCUUUUACAUUAAAUUUUUACAUGAUAUAUAUGUAUGUAUUAAUAAGAAUCUGAGAACAAAAAGCUGUAUUUACUUUCAUGAAUACAACUUGUGACUGGAACCAGAAGGAAUGCCACAGUCCAAGAAAGUCAUCUUGCUGUGCUUUUUUCUUACCUAAGAGAGCUCUGGUUUUGAACAUGGGUGAGAUGGCCAAAGAAAUACUGGGACUAUUAUCUUCUAAUAACUUCUGUCUAAAUGACAAUUACUACAAACCUGGUUCAUGUCAGAUGAAAUGCAAUAUUCUUUGCAGUGACAUGGUUCAAAAGAAAAGGUUUAAAAUCUGUGAAUGUUCCAGUCCCGUAAAAAGCAUUUCUAUCAGGCAGCAUUCACUUUAAGACAAUCUAUAGCUUUUAAUUCUUAAAAAAAAUACAUUUUUUUUUCUCUAAUGCAUACAUACAGCCCCUCUUCAGCUUUUUCAGAGUGAUGCUGUGUUAAUCUAGUGAAGGUCAGUCUGAGAAAACUCAACUAACAAAGAAAGUGCUCUUAUGAAUCGUAUCACGUCAUGUCAGGCUCACAGAUAAAUGGGCAUUAGCUAUAGAUUGAGAUACUUACCAGUUCAUCAAAUUCCUUCAUAUGUCUGGUAUUUUAUCUUGGAUUAUGUACCAUUGGGUUCAAUUUAAUAUUUUGUAAGUUAUUAGUUUGUAAUUGUUUUCAUAUAUUUGUACAUUAAAUACAGAAGGAGUGGGUGUAAUCUGAAGCACAACUGAAUUUUCUCUCCCUCUGCUACAAUAUAGAUAAUCAUGAUUUAUUAUGAUAGGUAGUAAUUUGCUUGCAAUGAAUCAUAUUUUAUCAAGAAGCAAAAUAAGUAUUUUUAUCUCUGAAGAAUUCUCUGUGCUUUUUUUCCCCUUCUUUGUGUUUCAUUUGUAACUUUUCUUUAUGGCUUAGGAGUUUCAUGACUCAGAGAGACACUAGAGCACAGCUCAAAUUUUGGACUGUAUGUUUUAAAGACAAUGUGAGAUUAAAUAGCCAAGAUAAUGGAAGAGUGAACAGAUUUACACAUCCUUACUUCUCUAACUGUUUCUGAUCUUCGGGGUAAUGUUUGUCACACCACCAUUCAGAGUAUUUGGAAAGUAGCCUGACUCACGUUUUGGCAUGACUAUAAGGAGACCUGUGUCCUAUGGCUGUCUCCCAUUUUGUUUCUUCAAAACACUUUUGUGUCUUCACUUCAUCUUGGCAGCGAGGUCUUGAUCCAUACUGACAACGAGAACAUUGGAAUUCAUUCUCCUUAAAAAAUAAACAAACAAACAACAACAACAAGGGAGUGGGAAGGAUUUUCAUUCAUGACUGACUGGGAGACUGGGAAAGCUGCAGCUAUCUGCAGUGACUGCACUGGAAAGACACCUGAGAAUAAAACAAAAACCAUGAAGAGAUUCAUGGUGGGGAAUCACCUGUAUCUAUCCAGUCUUCACUGAGAAAGCACACAGAAGUUAUUUCACCUGUUGACCUCCAAAAAAAAAAAAAAGGGAAGCAACUGCAGGCAAAGGAAAAGUUUGGAGCCUGGGGAAGUGUAAGAAAGAAAAACAAGUACAAAACAAAGCAUGACAAACUGCAGACUAUGGUUGCAUGUGCUUCCAGGCUCAGUGUGUCUCAUUGGAAAAAAAGAGUACUGCGUAGUGAAUUACAUGGAUGUGGGACUUCAGUCUUUAUUAUUUACACCAACUUAAAUCACACUUGUGGCUUUUUUUCUGCUGAAGGAAAUAUGUAACAAAGUGAAUAAGAUAAGAAUUCCUUAAGAGAAGAAAGACUGCCAUAUCAUUCUGUGACUCCUCAGAAUAUUUCAUUACUAAGUGCCUUUGGUCUGUGAAGUUUGUAAGCACUACAUUUGCAGUGCUAAGGCUUAUCCAGCUAGUCGUGGUUUGCAGCAGCAGGUUUCUCCUCAUUUGCUCUUCCAAAGAACUUCUGAAGAUAUCCUAAUUCAGACUACACACCACUUAAACCGUAGUACAGGACAAAUCACUACAAAUUUGUUCUACUGGGUAGCAAUUUCAACUGAAGCUCAUAGUCAAACACUAUAUACAAAUGCAAUUAUUCAGUACAGUCAAGGGAUGAUGACCUUAUGAUCAAACUACAUACCAACAGAAAUAUGCUGUCUCUGAAUCUUUAGCUAGUGCCACUUCUCUAUAUUGAGAUAAGUUUAUGGUCGCAGAAAAGUUGAUCUUUACGCAAUCCUUUCUCCACUGGUCCAGUGAACCGAACCUACCUUCUGGAGCCUGUAAUUAUGGGUCCUAAUGCUUUUCAUUCUCAGGCAUUCUCCAGUGUCCUCAGAGACUAUCAGGCUCUGGUUCUGCACCAAUGCUUCUCAAAACCUUUAGGACACAUUGAAAUUAUGUCCAAAUCCAAAAGAAAUGACUGAUGUGGCUCAAAGGUUGACAGUGCUAGGGUUACGCAACUGAAUUCUUACAGCUCUUUGGUUUGAUGCCACUAGGAAAAGACAAACAUCCAGAUUUGAUGUCUUUUGAUGCCCAGAGUUGAUGUCUUUUGAUGUCUUUUUAACUGCCACAGUUGGUCAAUCUUAAUUUCAUUGACAGAAGUGCAAAGUGAGACUGUAUUUAAGAGCUGCACUAUAGCUGUUCUGAUUUACACCAGUAUCAGUGAGAUUUAAGGAAUGAUCUUUCACAUUGUUGAGCUACAGGAUGCUUCAUGUUAGCUGUCUAGAUAACGAAAAAUAUCAUGGUUUUCCUGAAUGAAAACAUACCAGUUGAGGAACUUGUCCUUACACCUCGCCACUGCUCAACGUAAGAAAACAAAUCACAUUUGUGGAAUGUUUGUGAUUCACCCCAUAUCAACAAUGUUAACAUGGAGCUACAAAGCACUAGAUUUUGUAGAUGGGUAUUAAAAAAAGCAGGAGGCCUUUGGACAACUUUUUAGUUAAGUGCUUUGCCCAAUGACAGGUGCUUUUGCAAUCACCCCUUCUCCUCACCUUACGGUCUACCACAGUAUGUAUCAGAGAUCUCUGGGAAGGGAAACCAUCACACCUAAUGCAUUUGGACAAGUCUAGCAUGUGUGCAAAUUAAUAAGAAUGGCUUAUUCUAUUCUUUAUUUUGUUUUGCAAGGGUUGCCUUGCAUUUUUGCAACCUGCACAUCUGCUUCCCUGCUCUAACUAAUGAUAAUGGAUCUAGCAGAAUGCAAAGAACACAAUAUUCCCUCAAGUGCUUUUUUUUUUUUUUUUUUU
ensembl:lncRNA